CACGUAGGGGGCGAGCGUUGUCCGGAAUUAUUGGGCGUAAAGAGCUCGUAGGCGGUCUGUCGCGUCUGCUGUGAAAACUCAGGGCUUAACCCUGAGCUUGCAGUGGGUACGGGCAGACUAGAGUGCGGUAGGGGAGACUGGAAUUCCUGGUGUAGCGGUGAAAUGCGCAGAUAUCAGGAGGAACACCGGUGGCGAAGGCGGAUCUCUGGGCCGUAACUGACGCUGAGGAGCGAAAGCAUGGGGAGCGAACAGG
rnacentral:rRNA from 1 species